GAUUUCCUCAACCCCUCAGGCUUCAUCUCAGUGCACUCCAGAGUUCUGCCUCCAGAUGUGGCUGCUCUCACUCCUUCCCUUUUUGUUCCAGUUCUUGUGGCAUUGUGCUGUGACAAAUGGGAUGGCAUUUUGUGGACUUUCUUUCGAGGAGAAAAAACCCUGGUACUGAAGUCAUCCAGGAGCAGUGAAAGCCCCACCUCCAAAGCACACAGGGCUGGUACUGAGUGUUUCCUCCAUGUGUUAGUCCCUGUGGCACGGCCGCCUGCUGAAUCCACCGAGGAACUUGCCUUUGGGUCCCCCUGUUUACAACAAAGUGCCACCAGCUUCACCUCUUCCGCUCUCUCCGUAUGCAUGUAAGGUGUCAGCAUCGUUCUGAAGAAGGCACAAGCUUUCAGUAAAUGCCCAGAGCUACAUGUGCUGAGAGUUAACCGCAAGG
rnacentral:lncRNA from 1 species